rnacentral:rRNA from 1 species
UACGAAGGGUGCAAGCGUUACUCGGAAUUACUGGGCGUAAAGCGUGCGUAGGCGGUUUGUUAAGUCCGUUGUGAAAGCCCUGGGCUCAACCUGGGAAUUGCAGUGGAUACUGGCGAGCUAGAGUGCGGUAGAGGAUGGUGGAAUUCCCGGUGUAGCGGUGAAAUGCGUAGAGAUCGGGAGGAACACCCGUGGCGAAGGCGGCCAUCUGGCCUGUUCUUGACGCUGAGGCGCGAAAGCUAGGGGAGCAAACGGG